rnacentral:rRNA from 1 species
UACGGGGGGGGCUAGCGUUGUUCGGAAUUACUGGGCGUAAAGGGCGCGUAGGCGGUCUGCUAAGUUGGAUGUGAAAACUCUGGGCUUAACCCAGAGCCUGCAUUCAAUACUGACAGGCUAGAGUUCUGGAGGGGAUAGCGGAAUUCCAGGUGUAGCGGUGAAAUGCGUAGAUAUCUGGAGGAACACCGGUGGCGAAGGCGGCAUCCUGGACCAUUACUGACACUGAAAAGCGAAAGCCAGGGGAGCAAACGGG